rnacentral:pre_miRNA from 1 species
CCUCCUCAGGCUGGCGGGCCCCCAGGCUGGGCUGAGCGAGUAUCUCUUUGAAAGGCUCACCCGCUGCAGGACUAGGAGC